rnacentral:rRNA from 1 species
AUUGAACGCUGGCGGCAGGCCUAACACAUGCAAGUCGAACGGUAACAGGAAGAAGCUUGCUUCUUUGCUGACGAGUGGCGGACGGGUGAGUAAUGUCUGGGAAACUGCCUGAUGGAGGGGGAUAACUACUGGAAACGGUAGCUAAUACCGCAUAACGUCGCAAGACCAAAGAGGGGGACCUUCGGGCCUCUUGCCAUCGGAUGUGCCCAGAUGGGAUUAGCUAGUAGGUGGGGUAACGGCUCACCUAGGCGACGAUCCCUAGCUGGUCUGAGAGGAUGACCAGCCACACUGGAACUGAGACACGGUCCAGACUCCUGCGGGAGGCAGCAGUGGGAAAUAUUGCCCAAUGGGCGCAGGCCUGAUACAACCAUGCCGCGUGUAUGAAGAAGGCCUUCGGGUUUUAAAGUACUUUAAGCGGGGAGGAAGGGAGUAAAAUUAAAACCUAGGCUCAUUGACGUUACCCGCAGAAGAAGCACCGGCUAACUCCGUG